rnacentral:rRNA from 2 species
UGCAGUCGAGCGAUGGAUUAAGAGCUUGCUCUUAUGAAGUUAGCGGCGGACGGGUGAGUAACACGUGGGUAACCUACCCAUAAGACUGGGAUAACUCCGGGAAACCGGGGCUAAUACCGGAUAAUAUUUUGAACUGCAUAGUUCGAAAUUGAAAGGCGGCUUCGGCUGUCACUUAUGGAUGGACCCGCGUCGCAUUAGCUAGUUGGUGAGGUAACGGCUCACCAAGGCGACGAUGCGUAGCCGACCUGAGAGGGUGAUCGGCCACACUGGGACUGAGACACGGCCCAGACUCCUACGGGAGGCAGCAGUAGGGAAUCUUCCGCAAUGGACGAAAGUCUGACGGAGCAACGCCGCGUGAGUGAUGAAGGCUUUCGGGUCGUAAAACUCUGUUGUUAGGGAAGAACAAGUGCUAGUUGAAUAAGCUGGCACCUUGACGGUACCUAACCAGAAAGCCACGGCUAACUACGUGCCAGCAGCCGCGGUAAUACGUAGGUGGCAAGCGUUAUCCGGAAUUAUUGGGCGUAAAGCGCGCGCAGGUGGUUUCUUAAGUCUGAUGUGAAAGCCCACGGCUCAACCGUGGAGGGUCAUUGGAAACUGGGAGACUUGAGUGCAGAAGAGGAAAGUGGAAUUCCAUGUGUAGCGGUGAAAUGCGUAGAGAUAUGGAGGAACACCAGUGGCGAAAGGCGACUUUCUGGUCUGUAACUGACACUGAGGCGCGAAAGCGUG